rnacentral:rRNA from 1 species
CAGUCGCCGCGGGAAUACGUAGGGUGCGAGCGUUAAUCGGAAUUACUGGGCGUAAAGCGUGCGCAGGCGGUUGUGUAAGACAGGUGUGAAAUCCCCGGGCUUAACCUGGGAACUGCGCUUGUGACUGCACAGCUAGAGUAUGGCAGAGGGGGGUGGAAUUCCACGUGUAGCAGUGAAAUGCGUAGAGAUGUGGAGGAACACCGAUGGCGAAGGUAGCCCCCUGGGCCAAUACUGACGCUCAUGCACGAAAGCGUGGGGAGCAAACAGGAUUAGAUACCCCCGUAGUCCCUGUCUCUUAUAC